GCCAGGCGUGAUGGCACAUGCCUGUAGUCCCAGCUACUCGGGAGGCUGAGGUAGGAGAAUCUCUUGAGCCCAGGAGGUGGAGUUUGCAGUGAGCCAAGAUUGUGCCACUGCACUCCAGCCUGGGUGACAGAGUGAGACCCUAUCUCAA
rnacentral:SRP_RNA from 1 species